UCCCCCCUCAAACCUCGCGUUUGGUGUUGGGCCGCGUCGGUCUUCGGUGACCAGACGGGCCUCAAAGACAAUGACGGCGUCCGUGGGACCCUCGGUGCAACGAGCUUUUAGGAGCACGCAUCGAGUUUUCAAGGUCCCUCCGGGCCGGUCUACCCUUACAUUUUAUCAA
rnacentral:misc_RNA from 1 species